rnacentral:rRNA from 1 species
AGUGAACGCUGGCGGCGUGCCUAACACAUGCAAGUCGAACGAGAACGGCACGGGUGAGUAAUAUAUAGUUAAUCUGCCCCCAAAGAAAAUAAUUGUUGGAAACGACUUGUAAUGCUCUAUAUGCCUUUAUUACAUAAGUAAGCAAGGGAAAUAUUUAUAGCUUUGGGAUGAGACUGUACAGUAUCAGUUAGUUGGUGAGGUAAUGGCUCACCAAGACAAUGACACUUAACUGGUUUGAGAGGAUGAUCAGUCACACUGGAACUGAGACACGGUCCAGACUCCUACGGGAGGCAGCAGUGGGGAAUAUUGCACAAUGGAGGGAACUCUGAUGCAGCAACGCCGCGUGGAGGAUGACACAUUUCGGUGCGUAAACUCCUUUUAUAUGAGAAGAUAAUGACGGUAUCAUAUGAAUAAGCACCGGCUAACUCCGUG